GUGGAUUAGAUACCCUGGUAGUCCACGCCGUAAACGAUGAGUGCUAGGUGUUAGGGGUUUCGAUGCCCUUAGUGCCGAAGUUAACACAUUAAGCACUCCGCCUGGGGAGUACGGCCGCAAGGCUGAAACUCAAAGGAAUUGACGGGGGCCCGCACAAGCAGUGGAGCAUGUGGUUUAAUUCGAAGCAACGCGAAGAACCUUACCAGGUCUUGACAUCCUUUGACAACUCUAGAGAUAGAGCCUUCCCCUUCGGGGGACAAAGUGACAGGUGGUGCACGGUUGUCGACAACU
rnacentral:rRNA from 1 species